rnacentral:rRNA from 1 species
GAUGAACGCUAGCUACAGGCUUAACACAUGCAAGUCGAGGGGAAACGGUAGGGAAAGCUUGCUUUUUCUAGGCGUCGACCGGCGCACGGGUGAGUAACGCGUAUCCAACCUGCCCAUCACUUGGGGAUAACCUUGCGAAAGUAAGACUAAUACCCAAUGACGUCUCUAGAAGACAUCUGAAGGAGAUUAAAGAUUUAUCGGUGAUGGAUGGGGAUGCGUCUGAUUAGCUUGUUGGCGGGGUAACGGCCCACCAAGGCGACGAUCAGUAGGGGUUCUGAGAGGAAGGUCCCCCACAAUGGAACUGAGACACGGUCCAAACUCCUACGGGUGGCAGCAGUGAGGAAUAUUGGUCAAUGGACGAGAGUCUGAACCAGCCAAGUAGCGUGCAGGAAGACGGCCCUAUGGGUUGUAAACUGCUUUUAUAAGGGAAUAAAGUGAGUCUCGUGAGACUUUUUGCAUGUACCUUAUGAAUAAGGACCGGCUAAUUCCGUGCCAGCCGCCGCAGUAA